rnacentral:rRNA from 1 species
AACUUAAAGGAAUUGACGGGGGCCCGCACAAGCGGUGGAGUAUGUGGUUUAAUUCGAUGCAACGCGAAGAACCUUACCUGGUCUUGACAUCCCGGAGACCCUUAGGAAACUAGGGGGUGCUUCCAUCUGGAAGAAUCUGGAGACAGGUGCUGCAUGGCUGUCGUCAGCUCGUGUCGUGAGAUGUUGGGUUAAGUCCCGCAACGAGCGCAACCCUUGCCUUUAGUUGCCAGCAGUUCGGCUGGGCACUCUAAAGGGACUGCCGGUGUUAAACCGGAGGAAGGUGGGGAUGGCGUCAAGUCAUCAUGGCCCUUACGGCCUGGGCUACACACGUGCUACAAUGGUCGGUACAAAGGGUUGCCAAGCCGCGAGGUGGAGCUAAUCCCAUAAAACCGAUCGUAGUCCGGAUCGCAGUCUGCAACUCGACUGCGUGAAGUCGGAAUCGCUAGUAAUCGUGAAUCGGAAUGUCACGGUGAAUACGUUCCCGGGCCUU